UCUAAAUGUAAAAUUAAAAAUUAAAGUAGUAUUAGUUAAGUUCUUGAAAUUUAAAGAUUUUGGCGGUAUUUUAGUCUUUUCAGAGGAACCUGUUCUAUAAUUGAUAAUCCACGAUUAAUAAUACUUAAAUUAGUAAUUUAUAUAUCAUCGUAGUUUGAAUAUUUUAAAAGAAUUAAAUAUUCAUUAUUUUAAAUUUAAAAAUAAAUCAGAUCAAGGUAUAGUUUAUAUUUAAGAAGAAAUGGGUUACAAUAAAAUUAUUUAUGGAUAAUAAUUUAAAAAUUUAUUUAAAAAUGGAUUUGAAAGUAAUUUUAUUUAUAUAUUUAAAAUGAUUUAGCUCUAAAAUAUGC
rnacentral:rRNA from 1 species